GAUGAACGCUGGCGGCGUGCUUAAUACAUGCAAGUCGAGCGGAAAGGUCCUGAUCUUGCGGGUUGCACGUGUGGCGAAGGGGUGAGUAAAACGUGAGUAAACUGCCCCUGUAUUCGGGGUAACUCUUGGAGACUGGGGCUAAUAUCGGAUAGGAGCUCUUGCACCGUGGUGGGCGUUGGUAAGAUUCGGCGGUUGGGGAUGGUCUCGCGGCUUAUCAGCUUGUUGGUGAGGUAGUCGAUUACCAAGGCUUUGACGGCUAGGCCGCCUUGGAGGGUGGACGGCCACAAUGCUACUGAGGUACGGCCCAGAAUGCUACCUGCCGCAGUAGGGGAGAGUAUGGCGCAGUAGGGCGGAGCCAGAUGCAGCAAUGCCGCGUGCGUAAAAACGUCCUUCGAGGGGUAAACCGCUGUGGCAUGUGACGAGGCGGUAGUGACGGUAACGAAUAAGAAAGCACCGGCUAACUACGUG
rnacentral:rRNA from 1 species